rnacentral:lncRNA from 1 species
ACGUCCGUAGUGACUACAGGGCAUAAAGAGCUGGGCAGUGCCAUUGGAGGUGGAGGAGGGAGGUCUUUCCUAUGAGAAGAUUAUCUUGUGGAUCUCGUGGAGUUAUUUUGAGCUCUGAUUUUUAUCAUGAUUUCUUGUUAUCUCCUCAUUCCUGGCGCGCUAAUCAAUUACGGCCAAUCCCUUGUUGCGUCCGUUGCCGAAGAAGAACACCUGCAAAAGAAGUCCACAUUGAUCAAAAUUAUAUCCGAUGG